CCGGGAAUGACAACAUCUGUCCAGGAAGUUUUUGAAACACGGUGUUCUUCCCUUAAAUUCCUGGGUGAAACGAUCCCAACCAGGAGAAGUAUCGAAGUGAGUUUUGCAUCAUAGGAUGAGAGGAAGCUGAAGAUGGUACAGGUAAAAAAAGGUGCUUCUCCAUUGCUUUGUCAUUCAAGAGUACAGAUAGCAAUAUAACUUAGAGUUAUGUGUACAGGUCAACGGGUGAGGGGUCCCAAAGGGAGUUCUGGGAUGAACUUUCAUGUUUGUUUUGAGAAUGAAGAGUUCUUAGAUGUCAGGAGGAAAUUUUAAUACGAUGAGUUAUUUGGAUGAAAGGAUGGAAUUUGACUCUCUAGGGCAAUGAAGUGUUCAGAGUUUAUUGAUAGCCUUUAGCUAGUUGAUGUCAGGUGCUCAUUUCACGUGGACCAGGAUGAAGGAGUCAAUGUCCAAAUUCAGAAUUGACAUAUUUCACAUUUCAACCACAUGGAGCGGUAGCCCCAGAUAUCAUCCAAAUCCCCUGUCAUAUGCAUACAUCCGAUUUUGGUCUCAAAGAACUGUAAUAUAAAUUUUGUCAGAUGUCAAAAGUAUGAAGCUUAGUUCUCGAAUGCUUGGUCAAACUAUUAUACAGAAACCAUAUGGAUGAGGUGUAAUGAAACACAUUUAGUGGGAUUGUAUUACAUAGUCUCAGUUCUUAUUUUAGUCAUUGUUUAGUGAACUUGACUUUUCUGAAAAGUAACCUCAUUCAGUGAAUGGGUUUAUCAUGAACCAGAUAUUGAAGUUUUAGAAUACAAUACUAGCUCAAGGACGAGGAAUUUUAUGAUCUUUGCUUCUGAUUAAUUUUUAUUUUUAUUUUCGAUACAUAGAUCAUGUUAAUGCUUAAUCUAUAUAUGUCUUGCUUGAUUUCAGCUAUAUAUUGAUUCUUAGCCAUGUUCCUUUUCACUUUUGGGUUCCCCGUAAACUUUACCCCUCUAUGCAUCUUUCCCUGACUCAUAUAUUGGGAAUGACCCAACAUUUAAUAGAUUGAAUCUACAAGAAUGUUGAAAUAUGUGGACUGAGGCAUAUACUUGCAGGUUAAUGGAACACGGUCUGGUAUCACCUGAGAGAGAAAAGAAGGUACUAGAGAAAAAAAAGCAGAGGAAGCAAAACCAAAUUCGCACAGGGACCCGUGUCAAGUCUCUGCCACCACUAAUCUCGAGCAAACCUCAGAGUUCCAAAGUGCUGCAGCAAGAAUCAAAGAAUGGCGAUGUAAAAUCAAAAACACGAUUAAAACUGAUAACAAUGACGAAGAUGAUUUCAUACUUAGUCCAACGAGGAGAAAAGGGUAAGAACGAAUGCUCAUUUCCUUGUGCAGUCAUGUAUUGAAUAGAAAUUGGGCUGUCUUGAAAACUUCAAAAAGGAUUUGAUGGAGUGCAUUCUUUUAUUCUUGAUUCAUGGAAAUGAAUAAGUGAAUUAUAGUUGAUAUAAACCACAGUUUAAUGUUAUAUAGUAAAAUGUUUCAUGUGACUUGUUAUAGUUGCACAUAAACCACAGUUUUAGUGUUAUAAAGCACAACGUUUCAUGUAACUUGUUUAGUUUGCCUUAUGUUGUUAAUUUUUAAGUUACAGGAAAUAGACACAUCUCAG
rnacentral:lncRNA from 1 species